rnacentral:lncRNA from 1 species
UUUACUUCAGUCAAUAGUUUAAAUUUUAUUAUGAUCAUUUUGUAAAUUUAAUUUUUUUUAAUCAAAAUCAUUUUCUUAAAACAUAUAAAAACAAGAAUUUUUCAAAGCAAUUAAAAGAAAGUAUCAACGUCACUUCAAAGAGCAACAACUCCUUAAAUACGAAACAUCAGAGGUUCCCCAAGCAGUUAAGCCUUCGGGUAUCCUUAGCUGUUUGGGUUGAUCCGGUUCCCCUGCGGAGUGUUUGUUCCCUAGCAGAGUUCCG